rnacentral:rRNA from 1 species
GUAGCGCAAUUAAUCGUCAAUUAAUUGUUGACCAGUAUGAAUGGCGUCACGAGUGCUUGACUGUCUGAAGACAAGGCCCAAUGAAAUUGAACUCGUAGUUCAGAUGCUACGAAAUUUUGUAAGACAAGAAGACCCUAUUAAGCUUUACUGAAAACUUAUACUGUCAUAAUGAGUAGUGGGAAGUGAGAAUUAAAACACAAAUUAUAUAUUUUGAAAGACAGAAUCGCAAAAGAAACUUAAUUAGUAUGUUGGACAGUUUGGUUGGGGCGACUCCCUAAGAAAUGAUAACUAAGGGGCACUAAGGUAAUAAAGCCUGACUGUAAGAGGGCACUCAAACAGACACGGAAGUGGGUAAAGCGAACCGUUAAUAAAAGUGAAAUAGUUAACGAUAAACGAAUAAAAGUUACUAUAGGGAUAACAGCGUAAUAUUGUUAGAGAGCACAUAUCAACAACAGUGUUUGCGACCUCGAUGUUGAAUUGCGGCAUCCUAAGGGUGCAGAAGCUCUGGAGGGUUAGUCUGUUCGACUAUUAAAGCCUUACAUGAU